rnacentral:lncRNA from 1 species
CAUCCAGUCCAACUUCCCUGCAAUGAACAGGGGCACCUAUAGCUCCACCAGGAGCUCUGAGCCCUUGGCUGUCUCCGGGGGUGGGUACUGCUCCCAUAACGGCCUCGCUCCUGCCCUGUACAACAGGCUGUGUUCUCCUGCUCCCAGCUGAUGCUCUCAGCUCCCUCCCAGGGUAAUGCCUCCUACAUCUAUGCCACCGGUUCUCUUACUUUUGGGUGCUCAUUUCUUCUGCACACAUAAAAGUUCGCAAUUAGCAGCUGCUGUUUUACAACCUAUUAAGCAUUGGAUAGGAUAUCUUCCAUUACUACAAUCACAUUUGAAUAGAUGCUGCCUUCCUUUUGAAUUCUGUUUUUGCUAUCCCUUCUAUUCAGUUGCAGAACUGCACCGUUCUUCAGAUCCUAUUUUUCCUUUUGUAUACCAGCACGUAUUAUCCUUAUCUAUACAUUUUCUACUUAUGUACUCCCUUAUCAGUGGUCAACGAUAGCUGUAAACUGAGGUUUAAGGAAUACAAUCAAUCAUCUUUUAUAGCAAUUAGAAAAUAUUACAGUUUACAUUAACAACCUAUGGAGUAGGGGGCAGUACAAAGGAGCCUUAAUUAUCUUUCCAUUCUAUGCGGCUGUUGAGAAAACCAGGAUUGCUGUGACUGCUAUGGGUGGACAGUUUGAAGAGGGACUGCUUGAAGAGGAAGGCUGAAACUACUUGGAAAUGAAAGAGUUUCCAGCAGCCGUGGUGAAGGUGCUGCCACUUGUCUGCAGAGCAGGAUGUGGGCUUGUGCUGGGAGCUGAAAGUAGUCCAGGACUGCAAGGAAAGAAAGGAAACUUUCCAAUUCUGAUUACAGCCAACAAGGCUUUUGCAGUCCUGACAAGCAGAGUUGCAGAAGCACACAGGACACUGCCUCCUAAGACAACAAGCAAAAGCCCUAAAUUUGGGGCAGUUCAAAAGCAGUGAUAUUUGCACUCCUUAAACUUGGGUCAAGCAGUAAAUCCUAGGAAGACAGUGUAAAAUAAACCCUGAAAAGCUUCCCUCAGGAAGAUGAAAGUAAAGUAAACAAGAACUUAACACUUAAAAGACCUAUUGUGAUGCUCACCAUGCUCUCUGCUGAUCCUGCUCUAGCAACAGCCUGCUUGGGCACAUCAGUGAGGUUGCUGCAACACAAAACAGAUCAAUAUAAUCACAAUAGCCAAAACCAGUCCAUCACCCUUGUACAGAAAUCAUACCCGUGCACUGUGGUUAUGUAUGGGAAACUGUCUCGCAGAAAACAAGCAUCAGUUUGUCUUGGGCAGAGUCUGGAAGGACUAAUGUGUGUAUUUUAUUUAAAUAGAAAAUGUGCUUAUGC